rnacentral:sRNA from 1 species
CCCUAUCUAACCUUACCCUCUCCCUCUCUCUCACCAUCAGACCCUCUCCCUCUUCCUCUCCUCAGAGCACAUAAGCCUAGCUACAAGGAGCGGCGGUGGCGAGGCGAGGAGGAGCAACGAUGAGGAGGGGAGUCGGCUGUGGCGGUGGCGGCUCGGCGAGGAGGGCCGGUAGCUGCGGCGGCUUGACGAGGAGGAGCGACAAUGAGGAGAAGGGGCGGUGACAUAUCGGCUCCUCCCCUCUCCUCCAAUCCCGUCGGCAGCAGUAGCUCUUCAACAAGGAGGAGUGGUGACAAGGAGGCAGCUGGUGGAGACGGUAACGAUGACUACACGCGGCAAGGGUGAUGCAUGGCGACAGCGACCAUGCGGGAAGGGCAACGUCGGCGGUCUCUAGAGCUCCUUCAUUAUUCUUCUUCCUCUAGAUCCAGAUCCAUAAUUUCUUUUUUUUUCUCUUUAUUUCUGUGGAAUAUGUGAAUCUUAUUUUUUUCAUUUGUGUGGUGACAUUUGAUUAUUUGCAUUGUGCUUGAUCUAUCAAAUAGCAGCUGAUUGGGGAUAUUUUC